CCUGAAUAAAGAACAGGACAUCUUUGUUGUAUUUAGUGAUGGAAAUGAUUCACUUCAUCAGGCACAGUGCAGAAAAAGAAUUGUUUAAAAAUUGUCCUGAUCACAAUAAUCAAAUCAUUAAAUUCAAUAAGUCAUUGUAUUAAUCACAGACUUUAGUACUUGAAUAUUAAACGUUGUAGUAAACAAUAUUUACAUGUUAUUAAUCACACAUUAAAUUAUUUACCAUAAAGGAAAAUAUGGAUUUUCUUUGACUGGACAGGAUUAUUGUAAAAAUCAAAAUCAAUCAUCAGUUGUAAAUUGAGUUUGGCUCAGGUGGUCGAUCAGAUGAGUUUGUGUUCUGGUGCUUCAUGCUGUGUGAAUGGUGUGAACCAAAACAAGCUCAUCUUUGGAAGUGGAACCAGAUUAACCAUUGAACCCAGGGAGGAAUACGAGCCGUCCAUCUACAAAGUGGGAAACGAUGACACCCAGGUCUGCCUGGCCACUGGUUUCAGCAGACACAACGGGGCUGAGGUCGAUCCUUUCAAUGAGACAAAAGCUGUCCGGAUAUCAGGAGACUCGCUGUACAAUCAGGCAGUCGUCUUAUCUUCAGGGAAUGAAGACAAAUGUGAGAACUUGGAAGACGGAUCUGAUAGCUGUGAAGGCAACGUGGAAACAGAUCCCACGAUGAACCUCGCAUCACUGACCGUCCUGGGCCUCAGACUUCUCUUCAUCAAGACCAUCGUCUUCAAUGUGCUGAUGACUUUCCGACUGUGGAUCAGUCAGUGUAAGUAG